UCUUUGCAGGGGGUGCUGAUGGUGGAGUUGGGAUUGGUGUUAAUACCUCUCCACGUAGACCAGCCAUCGAGAAGGCUCAAGCAGAGCUGAGAGAAGAGUAUAAUUUUCGUGAGGAGAGGAGAAGGGAAUUAGAGUUUCUAGAGAAAGUAUGUUUUUUUAUCUUCUCUUUCUUCUGAUUUCUUAUAGAUUAAUAUUCAUCAUAAAACACAUUGCUAUCAGGGUGGAAAUCCCUUGGAUUUCAAAUAUGGCAAUGCAGCUUCUGUUAGUGUCCUAUCUACUUCUCUCACUGAUCAGCAAGCACAAUAUUUUGCAACCAGUGAAGCGAAAGGUAGUUUUGCACCUACUGCCUCACCUCACGGUGAUUCUGUAGAGAGUAGUGGUAGACCAGGGGUUCCCUUGGCUUGUGAACCCAAUAGUGCCGAUAAUCUAUUACUUUUUGAUGGUGAAAAUGAGUUGCCUGAAGGUGAAAGAAGUCCGUACAUCCUUGUAAUACUGUUGUUCU